ACUUGAAAUGGAGUGAUUGCUGCCUGCUGUUGGUUUUUCGAGCCACAUUUGGAGUUGGGUUUGUUGGUAAGAAACUGCUGCAUUUUGGAUCAUUUGGCUGCUGAACUUCAGGGGCAACCCCCUGAUUGCAUACUAAAGGACGCAAAAAACACCAGCAAGCUAAGUUAUUCAAGUUUGCUUGGGAGCAUUAAUCCUAUGAGCAGAUCUAGAGUUUAUCAAGCUUUGGCAGAAGAAGAUAUUGAAGCUGAUGCCAAGGGCAAUGAUGUUGAUCUCAGUCUGAUAUUGAUCAAUGUGAAGCAUAUUACGAAGCUGCUAGGGGAACAAGGAAGAGAAGAAUAUAUGGUCUUGGAUCUCAAGCACAAAGUUAUCUGCUUUUUGUUGGAAAGAACAAAAUUAUGCACUAACAAUACUUGAUGGAUGUGUGGGUUCUUUUGGUAGUUGACAGCUUGGUGUUGUCGGUGUUUUGGACUUAACGAUUAGGAUUUCGCUAUCUAUUUUGAAUCUUUUUUAUAAAUAUUAUUUUAUGUGAAUGUCAGUUAUUUUUAAGGGUAUUUAUUACUUUGUAUUUA